rnacentral:rRNA from 1 species
GACAGAGGGUGCAAACGUUGUUCGGAAUUACUGGGCGUAAAGCGUGUGUAGGCGGUCUCUUAAGUCGGAUGUGAAAGCCCCGGGCUCAACCCGGGAAGUGCACUCGAAACUGGGAGGCUAGAGUACUGGAGAGGUUGGUGGAAUUCUCGGUGUAGAGGUGAAAUUCGUAGAUAUCGAGAGGAACACCGGUGGCGAAGGCGGCCUUCUGGACAGUGACUGACGCUGAGACGCGAAAGCGUGGGGAGCAAACAGG